rnacentral:lncRNA from 1 species
AAGCGGGGUAGCAACUCCGUGAAUCUGAAUAUGCCAUAUGGCAUUCUGCUUCCUUGUGCUUGUUUGAAGUUCAUUCAGUUUCUCACAAAUACACUUUUCAGAUUCAAAUAAAGAAGUCCCAAAUGAAGCAGAAUUCCGGAUGAACUGGAGAAAAAUGUCUGCCUCGUGUUCUGAAGGAUGCCUGCUGCAAAUAUGCUGCCCUUCAUCUUCCUGUAUCAAAUCUUGAGGCUGGUAGUUCAGGCAGAUCAGAUCAGCCAGGAUGUGGUCUCACAGGUAUUCGGAACAGGAGGAAGUUUGUGUCUGUCUGAAGAGAGAAAAUUCAUCUUCAAAGGCUGUGGGGCACCUACAGAAUGA